GAUGAACGCUGGCGGCGUGCCUAACACAUGCAAGUCGAGCGAGAAGUAAAGAAAUGAAGCUUCGGUAGAUUUUCAUUAUGGAAAGCGGCGGACGGGUGAGUAACGCGUAGGCAACCUGCCCUGUACAGGGGGAUAGCCACCCGAAAAGGUGAUUAAUACCCCAUGAUGCAAGAGAUACACAUGUAUCACUUGUCAAAGAUUUAUCGGUAUGGGAUGGGCCUGCGUCUGAUUAGCUAGUUGGUGGGGUAACGGCUUACCAAGGCAACGAUCAGUAGCCGACCUGAGAGGGUGAUCGGCCACAUUGGAACUGAGACACGGUCCAAACUCCUACGGGAGGCAGCAGUGGGGAAUAUUGCACAAUGGGGGAAACCCUGAUGCAGCAACGCCGCGUGAAGGAAGAAGGCCUUCGGGUUGUAAACUUCUGUCCUAGGGGAAGAAACAAAUGACAUACCCUGGAG
rnacentral:rRNA from 1 species